CAUGAUGCCAAGUGCAAACAGUUCAAUACAAAGCUACAACUGAUGGAUACAGUCAAGGAUUGAAUAUUGAUUUCCUAAAUGAACAAUGAGAUGUCAAAUUGAGUGUUUUCCAAUGGCAUCUACAUAUAUUUAUUCGAUGUGUGUGCGACAAAACAAGUUAUCAAUGGACCUUUACUUCUAGAUAUCAGAAAUACUUGGACAGAAUCAUAAGCUAUUGUUCAAUGAACUUGAAGCAGAGUUCUGUUACUGUCUUUUACCAAAAUGGAAUUAUAAUGAAGCUGAACAGAAGAAAGGCAAGUUUGUUACUUUGCACAGCUUGGUUACUGUGCUGAAUUUGAUUCAUAUUUAUUAAUCUAUAGAAAGGAGUUUAGUUAUCUGUUUUAAGAUGGUUUCUCAAUUAAGCAGUAAUUAAUUCUUAUUUGAACAGGCUAACUCUAUUUCUCUCACUCUUCUUUAUUCAAUUAGAUUGUAAUCUGUGAGCUCUGGUGGUUGUUGCCUUAUUUGAGAGAUAAAAAUAUUUUUGGCAGUCAUGAUCAUUCACUAGUAACACGGGACAGAAUUGUAGAAAUUUGGAUCUUGCAGAAGUUUAUUGCUCAUCAGGCAGCGGAGUGACACUAGUUGUAAAAAUAAAUGUUAGAAUUAGCAAUUCGAACUAUUAUUUCAAUCUUCUUCUUUCCUCCUCAUUCUCCAUUCAUCGUGAAUCCCUAUGAAAAGCAACAACAAUAAUGAUACAACAGAUGUUGUUGUCUAGUAAUGGCACAUCAAAGUUAUGAAUAUCUGUGACUUAGUACAGUAUGGUGACUG